UUCAGCUUGUCCUUCUAUUGGGCUGGACCAGGGGAAAAAUUGAUGCCAAGGUUGGAGACUCUUCACUGUGACGAUUGAUGAUCAUUAAAUCCAUACCUGUGUAGGUGACAAAGUUGAUCCAUGUAUUAGUAAUAGUUGCAGAUACCUUCAAGUCACUACGAGAUGUACUAGGUGACAUGAAAAAGGAUUAAAGGCCAUUAUUGUAUCAUCCUUAAUGUACAAAUGCUGAGGUAAGCCUAAGGUUGAUUUGCAUAGUCCUAUUGAUAAACGGAGGUGGCUGUUUUUAUAGGUGGUUAUUUUCAAGUUGCUUUGGUUACUGAAUUUUUUCUUGAAUUUAUUUAUGCAAAUAUUGAAGUCUUUAGUUCUUUACAUUAUUCAUUCUGGCUGAAUCAUCACAAUCCAGUCACUAUAUUAAACCCAAUUUUUUAUUGAAGCAUUGUUGGUGUACCUAGCCAAGAAGAAUUAAUUUGGUAGAGUUUAUGAGUGAGCAAGUAGAAAUAUUAGAACCAAAGCAAUACCAAGUUUAGGAAGGAAAGAUCAAGAAAAGGAAGUAGUUUAGAUUGCGAAGAGCAGCCUCAAAUUUAAGAAAACGUACAGUUCACUGGAAAACAUGUUCUUUGUCUUCUGUAGAUGACAAAAGUAGUAGCAGGAUUUUUUAGAAGAGGCUUUGUCCUAUACGCACCAGCCAUUUCCAUUCAUUUCUGUAAUCAGGCCUUCUCCGAACAUAAAAGGAAUCACAAACACCACAUUAAAAUAAUUCAUGAACGCGGAUUGUGCUGUGUCUGAAGAGCAUGUGCUUCAUUUUAUCAGAUAGAAACAAACUUUUGCAUCUAUCCUAAACAUGUGCAUCACUGCAUAUCAAAGGGUGAUUAACAGAGUAGUAUGAGUUGGGCCAGCAAAUGUUCACUGGAAGUGCUCCUAAGGCAGUAUGAGUCUGGCUUCUCCAUCGUUCAUCUCAAAGGGUGAUUAACAGAGUAGUAUGAGUCUGGCUUCUCCAUCGUUCAUCUCUAAGGCAGUUUCUUUUCAGUUUUCACAAGCCCUUGUCAUGUACGCUACCACCUUUGGGAUUGUUGUUUGGUCAGGAAGCCUUGUUGGGUUUGUUUUACAGCGGAAUAUGAUGCACUUUGCUGAACGAUAUGAAUAUUCAUCUGUUGUUGGUUGCAUUGUACUACUACACAAUUCUUCAGCCAAAUUAUUGUCAUAGUAAUCAACGCAUGAUCCACAGAUAUGUUUUGCUGUAAAAGGGUGUAUCAUUACUUCUUUAGUGCUUGUACCGUGUGCAGUUGUGCAUCAAUUUCAAGAACAUGGACUGCUUAAUUAACUUUUGUCAGGCAGGAGGGCCAUUGCUGGUUGCAACUUACCUUGUUCUCAGAAUGGUUGCAACUUACCUUGUUCUCAGAAUGGUUGCAGCUUUCUUUGAUCAUUUGGCCUCCCUUUAUGCAUUCAUCUGCACAAGCACAACACAGGAUAGAGAAAUAAGUGGUGACUGAUGAAUGAGGAAGAGCAGCAACGCAGGGGGGUUAGGCGGAUCUGAUGCAUGGUCACGCCGGCCGCCGGCGUGGGCCGCUCCGAGGCUGCCGGUCGCCGGGGCGGAGGCGCCGCCUCGCUGACGAGAACCCGCGGGCGCAGAGCUGGGAAUUCGAGAGAUUUGUUGCAAACCUGAUUACGAACUGAAGCUUUGGUUUUCUCUGAAUCUUCGGAGGUGGAAGACGCGGAGGGGCGCGGGGAGGCGGAUUUACACCGGAGACGGAGGAGGCGGCCAGCACGCGGCGACGGCUGUAGUGGAGUCGUCGCCGGAGUUUGGAGCGGCGGCGGCGGCGGUGGAUUUCGCUCCGAGGAAGGAAGAAAGAUGGGCUGCUUGGGCUGAAGCGGGAAACCUGAAACUUGUUAGCCCAGAACGGGGAAGCGGCCCACGUGGUGCCUAUACUAGUUGGGCCCAUAACGGGAUUGCG
rnacentral:lncRNA from 1 species